GACGAACGCUGGCGGCGUGCCUAAUACAUGCAAGUUGAGCGCUCAAGGGUGGUACUUGUACCACCUGGGUGAGCGGCGGACGGGUGAGUAACGCGUGGGGAAUCUGCCUUUAAGCCGGGGACAACAUUGGGAAACCAGUGCUAAUACCGCAUAAAAUCUUUAAACACAAGUUUUAAGAUUGAAAGAUGCAAUUGCAUCACUCUAUAGAGGUCUCGCGUUCGCAUAGGUAGGUUGGUAAGUAAAGGGCCAACAAGGCGAAGAUACAGAGGCGACCUGGGAGGGUGAUCCGGCACACUGGGACCGAGACACGGCCCAAACUCCUACGGGAAGCAGCAGUAGGGAAUCUUCGGGAAUGGAGGAAAGGCUUACCGAGCAACGCCGCGGGAGUGAAGAAGGGUCUCGGGUCGGUAAACUCUGUUGGUAGGGAAGAACGUUGGUGAGAGUGGAAAGCGCAUCAAGUGACGGUAACUACCCAGAAAGGGACGGCUAACUACGUG
rnacentral:rRNA from 1 species